GCCUUCAGCCACGCCACCCUGACUACACCUGAUCCUGUCAGAUUCUCGGAAGUUAAGCGGGGCUGGGCUCCGGCUAGUACUUGGAGGGGUGACCUCCUGGGAAUACCGGGUGCUGUAGGGU
ensembl:rRNA 5S_rRNA 5S ribosomal RNA